CGAAAGCCUGACGGAGCAACGCCGCGUGAGGGAUGAAGGCCUCUGGGCUGUAAACCUCUUUUCUCAAGGAAGAAGAUCUGACGGUACUUGGGGAAUAAGCCACGGCUAAUUCCGUGCCAGCAGCCGCGGUAAUACGGGAGUGGCAAGCGUUAUCCGGAAUUAUUGGGCGUAAAGCGUCCGCAGGCGGCCUUGAAAGUCUGUCGUUAAAGCGUGGAGCUUAACUCCAUUUCGGCGGUGGAAACUACAAGGCUUGAGUGUGGUAGGGGCAGAGGGAAUUCCCGGUGUAGCGGUGAAAUGCGUAGAUAUCGGGAAGAACACCAGUGGCGAAGGCGCUCUGCUGGGCCAUAACUGACGCUCAUGGACGAAAGCCAGGGGAGCGAAAG
rnacentral:rRNA from 1 species